GACCCAUUAUCACAAUCUCGCGGUUGCGUGCCCUAAUGCCUGCCAAGGUUGCUAAUUCAAAAACGCAGACGCUUCGUGAUGGGCGAAAGCUAGGUGUUGAAAAGCUUGUAGAACUUGUUUUCAUCGGACGUCCACGAACGCUGAGCUUUUCUCACCGCUCGCUGGGAAGCCUGCGGCAUCCGUACUCGAGUCUAGUUUGCGAGACGUCUGCUGCUCGUGCCUCUACUCAAGACAAAAUUACGUACUUAUUGGAGGCCUUUUCGGAGGCCAAAGCCGAAAAGAAAGCCUGGAUGCGCGUGGAGCGCAUUUUCGAUUCUAUGCUCGGAGAUGCCUUGAUGGAGAAAAUGAAGCUCGGACUUUUGCUCUCCUCUGAGCUUUUACAGCGCUUUGAAGUGCUGUGGAUCCGCCUUGGUGGUGCCAGCGGCGACAUUAUUUCCGAAGAUACCUACAAGCAAUUUCACCAGCAACUGUAUUUCACUCUUUUCGGAAUUGAGCAGAUGACAUUAUUGCCGGCGACGAUGCAGUUAUUCUGGAAGACUAUCAGUACGAUUCACAGGGCAAAAGUGGGAUUGAGUUCGGCAGCUUUGCCCAUUCGAUGCUCGAAUUAGCUGAUAACUGGGCUGGAAGUCGUGAGGUGGCGGAUUAUGUUGCAUUCAUGGACAAAAUUGUUGAGUGCUACCCAGACAGCACAGUGCAGCCACGCAAAGCGCAUGCGCCAGACGAGUUGACGCUGAGCAAGGAAGCUUUCUUCCGGGGUGGAGUGGUGGUUCCCAGGGUGGAGGGCGAACAAACUGUUUACCAUAGAAUAACUCUUUAGCUCUCGCCGUUUUUGGUGGCAUUUUCACGGAUGUAAACUAUUUGGAAAAGUAACAGCAUCUAGUUCUUUGUUUUUCGCAGGCAGUGCUCAGUAGUUCCCUUUUGACACUUACCGUUUUGUGACUGUAAUAAUCUUCUCUGCUGUUUUGUCGAGAUGCACAAAUG
rnacentral:misc_RNA from 1 species